UACGUAGGGUGCGAGCGUUGUCCGGAAUUAUUGGGCGUAAAGAGCUUGUAGGCGGGUUGUCGCGUCUGCUGUGAAAAUCCGGGGCUCAACCCCGGACUUGCAGUGGGUACGGGCAGACUAGAGUGUGGUAGGGGAGACUGGAAUUCCUGGUGUAGCGGUGAAAUGCGCAGAUAUCAGGAGGAACACCGAUGGCGAAGGCAGGUCUCUGGGCCACUACUGACGCUGAGAAGCGAAAGCGUGGGGAGCGAACAGG
rnacentral:rRNA from 1 species